ensembl:lncRNA
GCUCUCAACAGCAGUAAAAAAUCAGCUGCUGACUAUGGCCAUCUGCUACAAAACAGCUGCAGGACCGAGGACACAAGUUUCAAGCCUGAAGAAUCUAUAAAUAGUCUCAGACCACUUCUUAAGUCUUUCCCCAGAGCUAAAGGCCUAAGGCAUUGCUUUCCUAGUGUCUGGAAAACCCAGCAGGAGGAGCUGCCAUUCAAGAAGACCGUAAAAAACAAGUAGUUUGGUGCAACCAGUGGACUCCUUCAUACUCCUCCAGGAACUCACUUUUGUACUAGAAAUACUAGAGGGCACAUCCUUGCCUAAAUGCUUCUUUUGUCUAACAAGACACAAGAUGUCGAUGGUUUAUGGGCUGGUUUGGCCCCCAGAGACUAGCGGGGCAGAGGGAUCCCCAAAUCCACGCCUCCAGAAAAGGGAAACAAGGGACCCCAAAAUAAUUAAAAACAGUGGCAACAAUCUGAGGAGAAACAAGCUAAUUUACUAAAAUUAGUAUCAGAAUGCAAGAUAACACACUACAAUACAAUAUAAUUGGAACUGAAGCUAACAGAUCAAAUAUAAUGAGAGAAAGAGUUUCUGAGAACUGAAGGCCUCACCAUACUGCUGAGGUGAGAUGCGCAGUUGGGUCGAGCAGCAGAGAGGAGAGCCGAAGGAAAAAGGGACAUCAGGUGACCUUACCAGGGGUUAUAUCUCCUCUCUGAACACAAAGCCCCCUGGGAUAUAUAGUUCUUCUUCUCUUCCGGACAGUUGCCCAGAACUGGAGCCUUAAUUCUUUAACUCCCAGUGCACUACAUGAUGUUAUGAUGUGGAAUACCAAUAACCAAAAAUCAUAAAACUAUGACAUAAGGUUAAGAAGAAGGUUGUGUUUAAUGUGAGGAAUAGAGAAAGGUGAACAAUAAAUUUAGCUUGUUUGCAUAAAUUAAACAGAAGUCAUACACUCCUCCUGCAGCCCUUUAAAAUCAUUUGCAGGAUAUCAAAAGCAAUUAUAGUAUAAUGAAACCUGAAAUAGUGAGAGCUGUAUCUUUCUUUUGAAACAUGUUAUGAAGUGGAGAUAUAUCUUGUGGGGGUUUGUUCCAUAGCAGCAUUAAUUUCAUUAACCAAUACCCCCAGCAUAGUUGUCCACACACAGUCAGACUUGUGGACAUGGCAGCAGCUCUAACAAAAUGUGACACUUCUUCAGGCUGUUCAGUUGAACUUGCUUUGUGAAGACACUUGGAAGUAUGAGCUGUUAAUAGAGAAUGUUUAAUCUCUGACAAAUCAAGAAUACAUUUAACUGGAAAGAAAGUGUCAUUGAGUCAAUUCUGAAGACAAACACCUCAAGGCAGGGCAGCUUUGUGAGCAACAUGACUUCUGUUAUAUAUAAAACAAAUGCAAGUAGUGUUGAAAAAACAGUCUGAUCC